GACAGAGGGUGCAAACGUUGCUCGGAAUCACUGGGCGUAAAGGGCGUGUAGGCGGGAAGGAAAGUCAGAUGUGAAAUCCCUGGGCUCAACCCAGGAACUGCAUUUGAAACUCCCUUUCUUGAGUGUCGGAGAGGAAAGUGGAAUUCCUGGUGUAGAGGUGAAAUUCGUAGAUAUCAGGAGGAACACCGGUGGCGAAGGCGGGUCUUUGGGCCGAUACUGACGCUGAGGAGCGAAAGCGUGGGGAGCGAACAGG
rnacentral:rRNA from 1 species